rnacentral:lncRNA from 1 species
GAAACCAAUACUGAGACAAAUGCUGGUGCCCAUUCAGAUCAAGGGUACUUGUUAGGGAAAAAAAAGUUUGCACCCCCAAAUGUCCUGUAUCUUAUGUCAAUAUUGUAAUCCCUACUCUAGGCACUUGCCUUUAAACGAUGUUUUUCAGCCCUUCAGAAGGGUUCUACUACUGUCCUAUACAAUCAAGUAACUGAAAUUCUUGGGAAGACACUUUGCUCCUCAUCUUUCCCCCCCAAAACAAUGUUGUUUUGUUUUGUUUUUUUUCCUUAAUUUGCACGAAAACAAAAAUUCCAUAUCAAUGUGCCUUGCCCUGGAUAGCGAUUAUUUGUGGAAUUGUUGCACAUGCUCCUCUAUUGAAAGGGGUUUUUCCCUAGUCAAGCAUUUGGAGACACUUUUUGUAAAUGUGACUUUUAUGUCAGCC